rnacentral:rRNA from 1 species
UGGGGAAUUUUGGACAAUGGGCGAAAGCCUGAUCCAGCAAUGCCGCGUGUGUGAAGAAGGCCUUCGGGUUGUAAAGCACUUUUGUCCGGAAAGAAAUCCUUGGCUCUAAUACAGUCGGGGGAUGACGGUACCGGAAGAAUAAGCACCGGCUAACUACGUGCCAGCAGCCGCGGUAAUACGUAGGGUGCAAGCGUUAAUCGGAAUUACUGGGCGUAAAGCGUGCGCAGGCGGUUUGCUAAGACCGAUGUGAAAUCCCCGGGCUCAACCUGGGAACUGCAUUGGUGACUGUCAGGCUAGAGUAUGGCAGAGGGGGGUAGAAUUCCACGUGUAGCAGUGAAAUGCGUAGAGAUGUGGAGGAAUACCGAUGGCGAAGGCAGCCCCCUGGGCCAAUACUGACGCUCAUGCACGAAAGCGUGGGGAGCAAACAGGAUUAGAUACCCUGGUAGUCCACGCCCUAAACGAUGUCAACUAGUUGUUGGGGAUUCAUUUCCUUAGUAACGUAGCUAACGCGUGAAGUUGACCGCCUGGGGAGUACGGUCGCAAGAUUAAAACUUAAAUGAAUUGACGGGGUCAUAGCUGUUUCCU